rnacentral:lncRNA from 1 species
CCAUCAGACAAUUGAAAAGCCAAGGCAAGGGGAGACAGACUUACGGAGGGAGAGUGUGGAAGUUAUCAAAGACUCCCCAGCCCAGGGGCUGAUGUAUCCUGAGACUGGCUCAUUCAAGCAUGGGAGAAAAUCAUAGCCUGUUCAUCUCUGUCCUGAGCUUAGCCUGGGAACUGAAGACCUGACUGCCAUCUUGGAUGCCUGGCCAUGAUAUGACCUUUGCCUG